AGAAUGGUUUGCUUUGGCAUCUCGUGACUCAGGCCUAAACUCAUCUGUCUUUCAUAUUCCCUCAUUUGCAGUCUGUUUUCUUUCUGCCCGACUUGAAUACUUACUGCUCAGUAAAAGAAGUUCUGAGUUAUUUUCCUGUAUCAAAUGAAGCUCCAGGCAUGGAUCCUUUGCUGCUGCCACAAUGCAAAGAAGGAUAUAAAAUUCUUUACAGGACUGCUUGAACGCAAUGAAACAUUGCCAUUUGACAGUUCUUGCGUCAAUGUUGAUUGAGCCAUGCAUAUUUGAUUCUCAUCUAUAAAUAAAUACCAACCUCUCAGGUAAGU
rnacentral:lncRNA from 1 species